rnacentral:rRNA from 1 species
UAGGAAGCCGAAAGGUGACGACCUUCGGGAGCUUGCACAGGUGCUGCAUGGCUGUCGUCAGCUCGUGUCGUGAGAUGUUCGGUUAAGUCCGCUAACGAGCGCAACCCUCGCUGUCGUGUUAUAUGUGUCACACGGGACUGCCGGUCUUAAGCCGGAGGAAGGUGGGAUGAUGUCAAGUCAGCAUGGCCUUUAUAUCCUGGGCUACACACACGCUACAAUGGCCAACACAAUAGGUUGCUAAGCCGCGAGGUGGCGCCAAUCCAAUAAAGUUGGUCUCAGUUCAGAUUGUAGGCUGCAACCCGCCUGCAUGAAGAUGGAGUUGCUAGUAACCGCAGGUCAGCUAUACUGCGGUGAAUACGUUCCCGGGGCUU